GAUGAACGCUGGCGGCGUGCCUAACACAUGCAAGUCGAGCGAGAUAAAUGUGAGUGGAGACUUCGGUCAAAGCAAUCAUUUUGAAAGCGGCGGACGGGUGAGCAACGCGUGAGCAAUCUGCCCCAUACAAAGGGAUACCCACUGGAAACGGUGAUUAAUACCUUAUAAGACCACGAAGUCGCCUGGCUUAGUGGCCAAAGAUUUAUCGGUAUGGGAUGAGCUCGCGUCUGAUUAGCUAGUUGGUGAGGUAAUGGCUCACCAAGGCGACGAUCAGUAGCCGACCUGAGAGGGUGAACGGCACACUGGAACUGAUACACGGUCCAGACUCCUACGGGAGGCAGCAGUGGGGAAUAUUGCACAAUGGGCGCAAGCCUGAUGCAGCAACGCCGCGUGAAUGAUGAAGGCCUUCGGGUCGUAAAGUUCUGUCUUCAGGGACGAUAAUGACGGUACCUGAGGAGGAAGCCACGGCUAACUACGUGCCAGCCGCCGCAGUAA
rnacentral:rRNA from 1 species